GAAAAUUAUCAUGAAUUUUCUAAUUAAGAUAACUGAAAUACGGCUACAGCCAUCCUCAAAAUCUAGUGUCGACGAGUACACGAACCCUACUAAAUAACAAGAUACAAGAAAAAUCCUCUAAUAUAACUGUCUGAACAAUAGAACAAUAAAUAUAGAAAUAACUGAAAGAGAACUUCAAGGACUGCGAACGACAUAACAGCUACCUCGUAGUCUCCUAACAGCUAAUAGCCACUCAACUCUGAAAAUCGCCUCGGCCAGAUGCACCUGGAUCUACACACAAAGUGUAAAGUGUAGUAUGAGUACAACCGACCCCAUGUACUCAAUAAGUAACAACACUAACCUUGGGCUCAAUGUAGUGACGAGCUCAGAAAUAAUAGUCAUAUGCCAAUAUGGAUAACCAGUAAUAAUUUAAAAUAUAAAGGGAAAACAGUAGAAUAGGUAGCUCAAUCAUAUUGUGUUCAACUUGUUCACAUUAUAGGAAAUUUAGGCAUGCUUUCAAGUAUAACAAUUAAAGCCCAACACAGAUAAAAAAUUUUAAUUAACAAUUAGCAUGAGGAAAGUAUAUCUCUAUGCCUACAUAUUGAGUAUACAUGUCAAUCAACAGUAUCACAAUGGAUCCAUCAAUUAUUUACACUUAGCACAAGCACGUAUAUAAAACACUGUGUCUGUGCUCACUGCCGAUAUGUCUGACUCUGGAGUGACGGAUCCUGCCCAUUUAAUCAUAAUCAUUUAGCUUAAUAGUGAGGCCUAGUGCACGCGUUGCCCCAAAACAAAAAUACUUAGCCCAAUAUGGGCCUGAUGUACACGUCACCUCAAAAUCAGUACCAAACCGACUCUAUGGCCCAAACUCAGUCAUUUACCGUUCAAGUAUCAGAUAAAUACAUCUCACGAUACUCAUUUCAACAAUAUUACACAUAGGAGGCAUCAACAACAUGUGAGGAAUCAAAUAAGAAGUACUGAGACAGAGAUUUCAUACAUGGAUAUGGCAUCAUGACUGAGAACAUGUGUACAAUUAAGGCAAAUAGCUCAGAAACAACAAGAAAAUGACCCUAUCAAGUCUCAAACAAAUAAAGCUUAGCCUAGACAUGAUGUGUAACAUGAAUUACAACUCAAAUAAUAAAAAAGUGGGGAAAAUGCGGUUAUAACAAAGUAUGAUAGCAAAACAAACCCGAUAAUGGCCUAAAGGCCUCCCCAAACCAUGAACACACCGGUGUACGUACACACGCCUGUCACCUAGCGUGCACGUUAUCCUAAUAUCUUUCAUAUAAUGUAGUUCUUAGGAUUAAAUGCCCUCAAAUUGAAGUUUAGAUGUGUUACUUACCUCAAAAUACGCAAAUUAGUACUCCAAAAAGCCCUACCCACGAGCAUCGGCCUCCGAAUUACCAGAAUCUAACCACAAAAACUUAAUAUCAACAAACAAUGUCGUAGGAAAUAACUUCAAAUAAUAAAGCUUCGUUCUUUAUCAAAAUCAAAAGGUCACCCCUGGGCUUGCACGAGUCCAACGUUACCAAAAUCAUCUAAUUUCGACUCCAAAUCGACCUUCAAAUCCCCAAAAUUUAUUUUAGAAAGAUUUCUACAAAAUCCCCGUUUUCUCUACUUCAAAUCACCAAAUUAAUGAACAAGUAUGGAAUCAUGAUAAAUGAACAAAUCCGAGUAAAAAAUACUUACUCCGAUCCAAGACGUGAAAAUUCCAUCCAAAAUCGCCCAAAACCGAGCUCGACAACACAAAAUAUGAUAUAAUAACUCAAACCCUCGAAAUGGGAUUAUAACAGUCUAUCCAGUCAUUACUCUUCGCGAUCGCGGAAAGUCCCUCACGAUCGCAAAGAACAAAAAUCACCCACUGCUCAAUCCUCUUUCUCGAACACGAUGCCCAACACUCAAAAGCUACGCGAUUGCAGACCUAACCACGUGAUCGCGAUGAACAAACGCGUGACAUACUUAGGCCCUCCAUUACUUCUAAGCGAACACGUCUGAUCACCUGCGUUUGCGAUGAACAAAAACCCCCAAGGCUUCACGAACGCAUCUAACUCCUCACGAACGCGAAGAACAAAGACUCACAUGCCUGAAAUUACUCUACGCGAUCGUGACCCUAUAUUCACGAUCGCGAAGAAGGAAACCAGAAUCACAGAUUCAGCAGUUCCUCAAGUCCAAAACAUCAUCCGACAACCAUCCGAAACGCUCCCGGGUCCCCCGGGGACCCCAUCCAAAUACACCAACAAGUCCGAAAAUACAAUACGAACUUAUUCGGAGCCUCAAAUCACACCAAACAAUACCGAAACCAUGAAUCACAUAUCAAUUCAAGAAUAAUAAAACUUAUAAACUUCCAACUUCUAAAACCAAUGCCGAACUAUAUCAAAUAAACUCCGAAUAACCUCAACUUUUGCAUGAAUGUCCAAAAUGACACAACUGACAUAUUCCAACUCUCGGAACCGAAAUCUGAACCUGAUAUCAAUACAGUUAACUCUCGGUCAAACCUCUCAACCUUCCAAACCUUCAACUUUCCAACUUUUGCCAAAAGCCUCAAACCAACCCACGAACCUCCAAAUCAAUAUCCGGACAAACGUUGAAGUCCAAAAUCACCAUAUGAAGCUAUAGGAACCAUCAAAACUCCAUUCCGAAAUCAUCUAUACAAAGGUUAAAUUUCGGUCAACUUUUUCAACUUAAGCUUCCAACCUUUGGAAUAAGUGUCCCAAUUCACUCUGAAACUUCCCCGAAACUAGUCCAACCACCCCGAAAAGUCACAUAACCACAAAUAAGUAUAAAAGAAGGCAAUAAAUAGGGUAAUGGGGCUACAAUACAAAAAACAAUCAGCCACGUCGUUACAUUCUCCCCUCUUAAACAAACGUUUGUCCUUGAACGGGUCUAGAAUCAUACUUGGAGUCUCAAAUAGGUGAGGAUAAAUUCUCCGCAUCUCCCGCCCGGUCUUCCAAGUAGCCUCCUCAAUUGGCUGAUCUCUUCAUUGAACUUUCACUGAUGCAAUAUUCUUUGAUCUCAACUUUCAAACCUGCCAAUCCAAAAUAGCCACCGAUUUCAUAUCAUAAGUCAAGUCCCCAUCUAGCUGUACUGUGCUGAAGUCCAAAACAUGUGAUGAUCACCAUAAAACUUUCGGAGUAUAAAAACAUGAAAUACUGGGUGAAUGCCGAUAGACUAGGUGGUAAUGUAAGUUUGUAGGCCACUUCCCCAAUCCUCUCAAGCACCUUAAAAGGGCCAAUAUACUGAGGGCUCAACUUGCCCUUCUUCCCGAACCUCAUCACACCCUUCAUGAGCGAUACUAUGAGAAAAAACUUCUCACCCACCAUAUAUGCAACAUCACGAACCUUCCUAUUAGCAUAACUCUUCUAUCUGGACUGCGCUGUACGAAGUCGCUCCUGAAUAACCUUAACCUUCUCCAUAGCAUCACGAACUAAAUCAGUUCCUAACAAUCUAGCCUCCCCAGGCUCAAACCAACCAACCGCAGAAUGACAUCUCCUCCCAAACAAGGCCUCAUAAGGAGCUAUUUGAAUAUUCAACUAAAAGUUGUUGUUGUAGGCGAACACUACUAUUGUUGUUGUAGGCGAACACAUGCACGUAACAUGUCCUCCAAGAUCUGAAUAGUGCGCUCAGACUAUCCGUCCAUAUGAGGAUGGAAUUCUAUACUCAACUCAACCCGUGUGCUCAACCCUCGCUGCAAUACUCACCAAAACUGUGAUGUGAACUGCGUGCCUCAGUCAAAAAUAUGUAAACGGGCACGCCAUGCAAGCGGAUGAUCUCCCGAAUGUAGAUUUGAGCCAAACGCUCUGAAGAAUAGGAAGUCGCUACCGGAAUGAAGAGUGCGGACUUAGUCAACCGGUCCAUAAUAAGCCAAACUGCGUCAUAUUUCUUCAAAGUCCGUGGGAGUCCGACAAUGAAAUCCAUGGUGAUACGUUCCCACUUCCACUCCGGUAUCUUCAGCCUUUGAAUCAACCCUCCUGGUUUAUGAUGUUAUUUUUCCACCUGUUGAUAAUUCAAACACCGAGAGGCAUAAGCAACGAUAUCUUUCUUCAUUCUCCCUACCAAUAGUGCUGUUUCAAGUCAUGGUAUAUCUUCGUGACACCUGGAUGAAUGGAAUAGCGCGAAUUGUGAGCCUUCUCAAGUAUUAAAUCUCUUAACCCAUCAACAUUUAGAACACAAAUCCGGCCUUUAAGCUGCAUAAUACCAUCAUCAUCAAUCACAACCUCCUUAGCACCACCCCGAUGCACCGUGUCCUUCAACACCAACAAGUGAGGAUCAUCAAACUGGUGAAACUUGAUACGCUCCAACAACGAUGACUGAGACACAACGCAAGCAAGAACACGAUUAGGCUCCGAGACAUCCAUUCUCACAAACUAAUUGGCCAAGGCCUGAACAUCCAUGGCUAGUGGCCUCUCUGCUAUCAGUAAAUAUGACAAACUGUCCAUACUUUCCGCCUUCCUACUUAAUGCAUCGGCCACCACAUUGGCCUUCCUCGGAUGAUAUAAUAUAGUGAUAUCAUAUUCUUUCAGCAACUCUAACCACCUCCACAGUCUCAAAUUAAGGUCUUUCUGUUUGAACAGGCGCUGGAGACUAUGAUUGUCGGUAUAGACCUCACAAUAUACACCAUACAGAUAGUGUCACACCUCCUUUUUCCCGAGGGAUAGGGGAGUUUUUCUAAUUAAAGUGAAAAUAUUCGAAAUAAUAUUAUUUAUUUAAUUAGAGUCGCCACUUGAGUUAAUUAUUAUGGUGUCCCAUGUCACUGGUUUAUUUUAAGAUCCCAAAUCGAGGAAAUUAACUCUAUUUAUGGUCUGCGAACACAGAAGAUCGAGUAAAGAAUUCUGUUAACUCGGGAGAAGGUGUGAGGCAUUCCCGAGUUUCGUGGCUUUAGCACGGUCGCUUAACAAUUAAUAUUUGGCUUAAUUAUCUGAAUUAUUAUAUGUUUUAGAGACUUUUAUGCAUUACCGCUUAUGUACCACUUUAAUUAUUUUAAAUAAUUAUAGAAUUUAUUUAAACAAGUCGCGAUGUCGCGCGCUUGUUAUUUUUGUACACACCGCAAAUCACGCCUCGUGAAACAUACCCGUGAUUCACGACAUAUUUAUCUUAAUUAUUUGAAGUUGGGGUCAAGUCGCGUGAAACGCGCACUUGAGUUGGGAUUUAUAUAUCACGACCAUGCCACGAGAACCGUACCCAUGGUCACGAUAAUUUAUUAAUCGCGCCUAAAGCAAACUACGAUUGAAUUAUUUUUCUACUUUGAGAUUAUUGUAUUGUGAGGCCGAGAGUUAUGGAAUAGUUGUGAAAAAUAUAGUACGAUCUAAUUAUUAGGCUACCAAUAAAUAUUUAAAAGAAAACUAAAACUCAAAUACACUUUAUUUCUAAAUAUUGUUUGGUCCAAUUAGUUCCAACUAUUCCUACAGUCAAACUAUUUUCAGGAUAAACUUUAGCCCAAACCAAUUCUUUAACACUAUGUCUAGCAAUCUCGAUGCCCAUUUAUUACCAAUUAAUUGAUUUCAAUGCGUUGAACCCAUAGCUCGAAUCCAGUUGUGUUUACCUAGAAAUGCUAUAUUUCAUUUUAAAUCUAUUUUGUGACCUUGCUUCAAUAAAUAAAUAUUAAUAAAUUAUUAACAAUAUGAUGAAGAAAAUAAAGCAACACCAUAAUCUUACGUAAUCACUUUAAGAAAAUCUAUAGGCCUACAAGGUCAAUAACAAUGAAAAGAAAAGUUGGAAGUGGACUAAAUACUAACUCUCAAAGCAGCUUAAUUUAGGCUAUUAAACAAAUUCACUCUAACCCACCUAUAGGUUCAUCUUUCUUACUUAAUAUAAAAACCAGAAAAAAAAUUAAUUUAACUAAAUAAGAGCUACGAGGUACAUUUCACGCAAGAGCUUCACAUUCGAACAUCAACAGGAACAAAUCAAGGAAUUAAAAAUGCAGAAGAAAGUUUAGAAUUGGACCUUCAAUAGAGUAGAGCAUUUCAUAUAUUAAUAAACAACUUCCAAACCAAGCUUUAGUACAACAAUAACAAUUUGUUUAGAAGAGCAAAGACGGAAACUUGGAGCUAAUCCGAAUCGAAGACUCGACAAGCGAUCUCAACACUGACUGAAAAAUUUGAAUCCACUUUGUCUAGAUGCGUUUUGGGUUAUUUCAGAUAGUUUUUGGGGAGGUUUUGGAUCUGAUUUCGGACUAGUUUUCAGUUGGUUUGCAUGGCUGAUUUUGCUGAGUUUUUGGCUGGAAAACAUAGCGUGUUUUUGCUGGGUUUUAAAGCUAAUUUUUGGGAGGCUUUUCAGCUGGAUUUGGUGUUGAUUUUGGAGCUGAUUUGAGGUGUUUUGGGGUUGGAUUUUGGGUGUGUUUGGGAUAAUGUUUAUGCUGUUUUUUGUGAAGCUUUUGGCUGUGUUUCCAUGGCUAGCUUUGGAGGACAAUUUUUCCUAAUUGAAGAAGAAAGGGCUACUGCUUUUUUCUGUUCUCUCCCUCCUUUGCUCGCCUAUUUGGUGGCCCUUUUAUUUUGCCUUCCCACGAUCUCCCCCUUUUUCUUGUGUGUCUGUGUGUGUUUGGAGGGAAGAAAAUGUGAGCGGGGGACAUGGGUGGUGAAAGUGGGAGUGUGAGAAGUGGGAAGUAAGUGAGGGAAGUGGAAGUUAGGUAUUG
rnacentral:lncRNA from 1 species